rnacentral:rRNA from 1 species
UGGGGAAUAUUGGACAAUGGGCGAAAGCCUGAUCCAGCCAUGCCGCGUGUGUGAAGAAGGUCUUCGGAUUGUAAAGCACUUUAAGUUGGGAGGAAGGGCAUUAACCUAAUACGUUAGUGUUUUGACGUUACCGACAGAAUAAGCACCGGCUAACUCUGUGCCAGCAGCCGCGGUAAUACAGAGGGUGCAAGCGUUAAUCGGAAUUACUGGGCGUAAAGCGCGCGUAGGUGGUUUGUUAAGUUGGAUGUGAAAUCCCCGGGCUCAACCUGGGAACUGCAUUUAAAACUGACUGACUAGAGUAUGGUAGAGGGUGGUGGAAUUUCCUGUGUAGCGGUGAAAUGCGUAGAUAUAGGAAGGAACACCAGUGGCGAAGGCGACCACCUGGACUAAUACUGGCACUGAGGUGCGAAAGCGUGGGGAGCAAACA